rnacentral:tRNA from 1 species
ACAUGUUUAGUAUAAGUUAAUACAUUGGAUUUAGGAUCUAAAAAUUAAAAUAUGUU